rnacentral:ribozyme from 16 species
AAAUAAAUAAAAGCGGGAAGAAGAGGGAAAGAAAAAAGUAGAAAGAAUUAAUUUUCCUCCGCGAAUUAUUUAUAUUCUCUGGGUUGAUUUCAAGAGUUCCCACUGUCUUUUUCUAGGUCUUUUUGAUUUCAUUUGUUUCUUUUUUUUUUUAAUAUAUAUAUUUUGUAUAUA